rnacentral:rRNA from 1 species
UACGGAGGGUGCAAGCGUUAUCCGGAUUCACUGGGUUUAAAGGGUGCGUAGGAGGGCAGGGAAGUCAGUGGUGAAAUCUUGGGGCUUAACCCCGAAACUGCCGUUGAUACUCUCUGUCUUGAAUCCCGUGGAGGUGAGCGGAAUAUGUCAUGUAGCGGUGAAAUGCUUAGAUAUGACAUAGAACACCGAUAGCGAAGGCAGCUUACUACAGGAUGAUUGACGCUGAGGCACGAAAGCGUGGGGAGCAAACAGG